rnacentral:misc_RNA from 1 species
CAGCUUGGCGUGGGUGACUCAAUCGACCGUAACAUUCCUUCUCGUGUUCCCAUUGAAGGUUGUCGGCCAAAAAAUGUUGCUUGUGGUUGGUGGCACACGCUACUGCUGGCGGAAACACCACUUUGAGUCCUUACAUUCAUCAUAGAUAACAAAGUGGUGACAGUUUUGCUAGGAUAGCGACUUCUUCCCCCAGUUUAUUUUUAUUUGACGCUUGUACUCUCGCGUAUAAUGUAUAUACUGCAUGAAAGCAUCUGUCAAAUUUUCUUUUCUUUCUCUAGGAGAUAGCAAACUGGUACUUCAUAGCAAAAAAACGACAAUAGUCCUUGUAAUGAUACAAU